rnacentral:rRNA from 1 species
CCUACGGGAGGCAGCAGUGGGGAAUAUUGGGCAAUGGAGGAAACUCUGACCCAGCAACGCCGCGUGAAUGAUGAAGGUCUUCGGAGUGUAACGUUCUUUGCUAAGGGAAGAAAAAAGGGACGGUAACUUAGGAAUAAGCCUCGGCUAACUACGUGCAAGCAGCCGCGGUAAUACGUAGGAGGCAAGGGUUAUCCGGAAUGAAGGGGUGUAAAGGGAGAGUAGGUGGUGAGGGAAGUGAUAGGUGAAAGCCCUAGGCUCAACCUGAGAACUGCAAAAAAAACUAUCAAGCUAGAGUACAGGAGAGGAAAACGGAAUUCCUAGUGUAGCGGUGAAAUGCGUAGAUAUUAGGAAGAACACCAGUGGCGAAGGCGGCUUUCUGGACUGAAACUGACGCUGAGGCUCGAAAGCGUGGGGAGCGAACAGGAUUAGAUACCCCUGUAGUC